UUACUUUUAAAUAUAUUUUAGAUUAAGAAUUAAAAUUAAUAUGUUUACAAGUAAUAAUAAAAAUAUAAUUAGAUGAAAGUAUGGGUAUUUUAGGUAUUUGGAUUAUUACAAAUCAUUUGGAUGGAGAGUAGAGAUAAGCAAACGAAUAACAUCUCAUUCGGAUGAUCCAAUCAAAUGAACCGACUAAAAAUAAAAUAAACAAGAGUCGGAUGAAUCAUCCAGAUGGACAUGUUGAAUGGAUCAGUUGGAUGGAUCUGUCAAAUGGAAAUGACUAUUGGAAUUUUUUGUUA
rnacentral:sRNA from 1 species